CGUGGUAUCCUGUCUGAAUAUGGGGGGACCAUCCUCCAAGGCUAAAUACUCCUGACUGACCGAUAGUGAACCAGUACCGUGAGGGAAAGGCGAAAAGAACCCCGGCGAGGGGAGUGAAAAAGAACCUGAAACCGUGUACGUACAAGCAGUGGGAGCACGCUUAGGCGUGUGACUGCGUACCUUUUGUAUAAUGGGUCAGCGACUUAUAUUCUGUAGCAAGGUUAACCGAAUAGGGGAGCCGAAGGGAAACCGAGUCUUAACUGGGCGUUAAGUUGCAGGGUAUAGACCCGAAACCCGGUGAUCUAGCCAUGGGCAGGUUGAAGGUUGGGUAACACUAACUGGAGGACCGAACCGACUAAUGUUGAAAAAUUAGCGGAUGACUUGUGGCUGGGGGUGAAAGGCCAAUCAAACCGGGAGAUAGCUGGUUCUCCCCGAAAGCUAUUUAGGUAGCGCCUCGUGAAUUCAUCUCCGGGGGUAGAGCACUGUUUCGGCAAGGGGGUCAUCCCGACUUACCAACCCGAUGCAAACUGCGAAUACCGGAGAAUGUUAUCACGGGAGACACACGGCGGGUGCUAACGUCCGUCGUGAAGAGGGAAACAACCCAGACCGCCAGCUAAGGUCCCAAAGUCAUGGUUAAGUGGGAAACGAUGUGGGAAGGCCCAGACAGCCAGGAUGUUGGCUUAGAAGCAGCCAUCAUUUAAAGAAAGCGUAAUAGCUCACUGGUCGAGUCGGCCUGCGCGGAAGAUGUAACGGGGCUAAACCAUGCAC
rnacentral:rRNA from 1 species